UUUUCCCCUGGAUAGAACAGGCAACCGAGAGGAAAAAUGGAACUAAUCAUAGGUUCGAUCCAGCAACAACCUUUUUUGGAUUUUCAAAAUUAUGCUACUUUUUACCUCGGUUGGAAAUAAUAUUGAAGUUCAAAUACCUUGUUUACAUAAAUUUAAUUUAAUUAUUUUUUUUCAUUUCAAUCUACAAAGCAUCAACUUUAGUGACAAAUUCAACAACAAGAACAACAACAACAACAAACAAAAAAACAACAAAAAAUAAAAUAGAUUUGUUAAACACUAAACAACAAC
rnacentral:lncRNA from 1 species